rnacentral:rRNA from 1 species
UGAGGAAUUUUCCGCAAUGGGCGAAAGCCUGACGGAGCAAUACCGCGUGAGGGAUGAAGGAUUUUGGUCUGUAAACCUCUUUUCUCAAGAAAGAAGUUCUGACGGUACUUGAGGAAUAAGCAUCGGCUAACUCC